rnacentral:lncRNA from 10 species
AGUUUCCUGCAAGAAACGGGACGACUAUUUGGAAUGGCCAGAGUAUUUUAUGGCUGUGGCCUUCUUAUCAGCACAGAGAAGCAAAGAUCCAAAUUCCCAGGUCGGCGCCUGCAUCGUGAAUUCAGAAAACAAGAUUGUCGGGAUUGGGUACAAUGGGAUGCCAAAUGGGUGCAGUGAUGACGUGUUGCCUUGGAGAAGGACAGCAGAGAAUAAGCUGGACACCAAAUACCCGUACGUUGAUCAGACUGAGGCUCCGAUAAAAUAAUUACUCCUCAGAGAUCAGGAGCUCGGGGAGGGGUGGCCUGUGUCCGGCAUCAUGCAGAAAGCCACAUGCGUGGCUCACUGUAACAUUUCUUCAAAGGGGAGUGCAGUGGACUGAAUGUGUCUCCCCCCAAAUUCACAUGUUGAAACCCUAAUUCCAAUGUGCUGAUAUUUGGAGGUGGGGCCUGGGGGGACGUAAUUAGGCCAUGAGGGUGGAGCUCUCCUGAAUGGGAUUAGUGCCCUUCUAAAAGGGACC